GUAGGGGUCGAGCGUUGUCCGGAGUUACUGGGCGUAAAGCGCGUGCAGGUGGCUCAUUACGCCCGGCGUGAAAGCCCCCGGCUCAACCGGGGAGGGUCGUCGGGGACGGAUGGGCUUGAGGGUCGCAGGGGCUGGUGGAAUUCCCGGUGUAGUGGUGAAAUGCGUAGAGAUCGGGAGGAACACCCGUGGCGAAUGCGGCCAGCUGGGCGAGCCCUGACACUGAGACGCGAAAGCGUGGGGAGCGAACGGGAUUAGAUACCCCGGUAGUCCACGCAGUAAACGAUGCCGACUAGGCGUGGGGGGACUUGACC
rnacentral:rRNA from 1 species